GGCACUCCUGGAAGUCCAACAUCAAAUAGUUUGUCAAGUUGACGUUUCAGUCCCUAACCUCGGACUUUCAUCAGGACACACAUUGUGUUAGGGACUAAAAGGUCGACUUGACAAUAAACUAUUUGAUGUUGGACUUCCAGGAGUACCGGCAAUCGUUAGUUUUUCUGUAUUACAGUGUGGCUGGGCACCCGUUAUUAUUGGCCUGAGGUAGGAGGGCUAAAGUUUUAUUUAUAUAUAUAUAAUGUAUGUAUGUAUAUGUGUAUGUAUAUGUGUAUGUAUAUAUGUGUGUGUUUGUCACUAUCUAUUUUCUAAUCAUAUUGCACAUUUGCUGUAUAAGUCAUGUAAUGUACAUACAUACAACCAUAGUGUUGGUGCGUGGGUGUAUUUUCAACACGCAGGCUUGUGUAUUGGUUCCUUCCAGGUGCCUCUCUACUCCCUAACUUGUUUUGUGACACACUGGAAUAUUUGUUGGUUUUCUUGGUGUCUUGUUUGUUUCAUUGUUGUAACAAAUGCUCUCGACUUGAUAAAAAGUAGGAACUCCCGCAAGCUUGUCAUUACUAAUAUCUGUUAGUCCAAUUAAAAAUGGUAUUAAAAGAUACCUCAAUACUUAAUUAUACAGGAACCCACAGCUUGUAUCCGUGUUUUAGGUCACACAGCGGCAAGACUAUUGCCAGGUUUGGAUUUGUCAAUUAGUUUCUUGUGACUGAACUUUGUGAAUUGAAGCUGCCCGAAAAGCUUGAGCCUAAAUACUUCUUGAGACUUCGUUGGCUUAUUUAAAAUGAAACUAAAUAUCCUUCUGAGCACUUUCAAGUUUCCGGUGAGGCUCAUUUUUAUCUUUAUAAAUAAAAGCACAAAACCACAUUGUCUUAACUGUGGUUUGCUAAUGUCUUCUCUGCAAGAAACAAACUGAUACAUUUGGCAUUCUUCCCAUUACUACGACCAAGAUAACCUCUAUAGUCCUAUCGCAUCACAAUCAAUAUCAGAAAUGCUUAAAAACAAACGUGCAGAGAAGAGACCUUUCUAAUAGCUAAAAGCAAGCCAACGUGUGAGGGUUGUUUUGGGUUCUGCCCGGCAUCGAAUACAAAGUACAAAUGUUCCAGGAGUCCUUAUGUGUGAUGAUUGUGGUAUUUUAUUCCAUUCCUCCACUGUAUGUACCGCAGACAAAUAGGUGGAAAACAAAUGUCAUUGUUCCGCUUGAAAGGAAAGUCCCAUCAAAACAAUUUGUUUGAGCAUUAAAGUUGAAGAUGUGGAAUUUCUAUUUUAAAGGAUUACUCUAAGUGACCACGCAAGUGAUUUGAAGUGGUUAUGGUGCCUGGAGUCUGUAUGUUUUUUUUUUUUUGCAUUGUCCCAAUGAAUUUGCACACUCAGCCUAUAAAUGACUACUGUAUUGGUUUCUGGAUGCUUCGGCUCUGCAUAAUGAAUAUUCCUCUAUUGGUGACUAAACAGAAAAACUAUUUUGUGCAAGUUUGGUAAAAGUGAGACCAAAAUUGUCAAAUUCCAGAACUAGCUUUAAUACGCUUUCCAAAUAAUCCAAUACUGUUAAAUCAUUUGUAUCACUUAAAGAGUUUAUUAAACCGAAGAAAAAAUGUUGGAGAUUUUCU